CCUACGGGCGGCAGCAGUGGGGAAUAUUGCACAAUGGGGGAAACCCUGAUGCAGCGACGCCGCGUGAGUGAAGAAGUAUUUCGGUACGUAAAGCUCUAUCAGCAGGGAAGAAAAUGACGGUACCUGACUAAGAAGCCCCGGCUAACUACGUGCCAGCAGCCGCGGUAAUACGUAGGGGGCAAGCGUUAUCCGGAUUUACUGGGUGUAAAGGGAGCGUAGACGGCAGCGCAAGUCUGGAGUGAAAUCCCAUGGCUUAACCAUGGAACUGCUUUGGAAACUGUGCAGCUAGAGUGCAGGAGAGGUAAGCGGAAUUCCGAGGGGAGCGGUGAAAUGCGUAGAUAUUAGGAGGAACACCAGUGGCGAAGGCGGCUUACUGGACUGUAACUGACGUUGAGGCUCGAAAGCGUGGGGAGCAAACAGGAUUAGAUACCCGGGUAGUC
rnacentral:rRNA from 1 species